GCAAUGGUGGCUGAGUAGUAGACUUCCUGCCUUCCAUGCAGGAGCCCUGGCUUCAAUUCCCAACCAAUGCA
rnacentral:tRNA from 1 species